AUUUGGAGAGUUUGAUCCUGGCUCAGGACGAACGCUGGCGGCGUGCCUAAUACAUGCAAGUCGAGCGGAGCUUAUCCUUCGGGGUAAGCUUAGCGGCGGACGGGUGAGUAACACGUAGGCAA
rnacentral:rRNA from 1 species